rnacentral:tRNA from 1 species
UAGCUCAGUGGUAGAGCAUAUGCUUAGCAUGCACAAGGACCUGGGUUCAAUCCCCAG